UAACAGUCUACAGCCAUGGUCGC
rnacentral:miRNA from 3 species